GCCAAAUUUGUUUUGAAGAGGAAGAACCAUAAGAGAGAGAAGUGGAGGGACUUGUACUUCUCCAUCAAGUUAGCACCUGGACAGCAGACCGAGCUGACACAUUAUUCUCAGUUGUCAUGAUUUUGGUAUGAAGAAGGCAAAAAUUCUCUUGCCAUUCCUUUCCAGGAGCUAUCCAUGUUUCCAGGUCUGCAAACACUGAGAUAGUGGGCAAAUGGUUUUUUCUUAAAGGACCGCAGAGGCAGCUGACUCCUACCAUCUGAGUAGAAAGAACCGCGGCAUAGAAGCUGAAAAGAAAAGCCCUUGUGCCAAUGUUACACCCAGAGCCCGUGGGGAUUAUUUUCCUUUUCUCUGUCAUGCAUGAAAAUCAUCCAGGUUAUCACGGCCGGCUUCACCAGUCCAUUAAGCAGCACAAUGGAGGGCUGGGGACAGCUGCCCGUAGCCGAGGGGCUGAGGGGAGAACCUCUCCAUAAAGACAGUCCUCUCCUUCGGAAGCAGAAGUGGCAGAUGUGAGGAAGAGGGCCCAGGGCAGGCACCUCUGUUGGCUCACAGGGAUUGUGGCCCCAAAUGUCAGGGACACCUUGGAAUGGAGAGGAAAUAUGGGCCUGUUUUGCCUUUAAAGCUCAUCCUGCUUCAUUUGCACUUCCUAGGACAAUACGCAGACCAAAGCUCCCUUUGACAGCCACAACACCUUUGAAUUUUGGGGCGCCCUUCUCUGACCAAGUAAUAUGUACAAAAAUGCACAGACAAGGGGAAAACGUGUUUCAAAUUUCAUAUAUUGGUGGUGAUAGAAAUGCAUUGCAUACAGGGAAGUCACUUGCAAAAAUAAAAAUAA